rnacentral:rRNA from 1 species
CCUACGGGAGGCUGCAGUGAGGAAUAUUGGUCAAUGGGCGCGAGCCUGAACCAGCCAAGCAGCGUGAAGGAUGACUGCCCUACGGGUUGUAAACUUCUUUUAUAAAGGAAUAAAGUGAGGCACGUGUGCCUUUUUGUAUGUACUUUAUGAAUAAGGAUCGGCGAACUCCGUGCCAGCAGCCGCGGUAAUACGGAGGAUGCGAGCGUUAUCCGGAUUUAUUGGGUUUAAAGGGAGCGUAGAUGGGUUGGUAAGUCAGUUGUGAAAGUUUGCGGCUCAACCGUAAAAUUGCAAUUGAUACUGGCAGUCUUGAGUGCAGUUGAGGUAGGCGGAAUUCGUGGUGUAGCGGUGAAAUGCGUAGAUAUCACGAAGAACACCGAUUGCGAAGGCAGCUUACUAAACUGCCACUGACAUUGAUGCUCGAAAGUGUGGGUAGCAAACAGGAUUAGAUACCCCUGUAGUC